CAUACCUGCACAUUCAGUGCUUUACAUACACCUGGAUUGUUCCGAAGCUCGCCGUGCUUUGCUCCCUCCUUUACAGUCGGAAAGCCUGAGGAAAAAGAUCAGCAGGAAAAUGGCCAUGAUGGGACCACAGAUGGAUGACGCCCUCAAGAACAAACUGGGCAAU